GGGCUUGUGGCGCAGUGGCAGCGUAUCUCCCUCCGAAGGAGAAGGUCUCAGGUUCGACCCCUGACUGGCUCG